CCGUGAAGCUGGAUUCGCUAGUAAUCGCGCAUCAGCCAUGGCGCGGUGAAUACGUUCCCGGGCCUUGUACACACCGCCCGUCAAGCCAUGGGAGCCGGGGUGCUUGAAGUGCGUCGCCGCAAGGCGCGCCCUAGAGCAAAACCGGUGACUGGGGCUAAGUCGUAACAAGGUAGC
rnacentral:rRNA from 1 species